rnacentral:rRNA from 1 species
CCUACGGGAGGCAGCAGUGGGGGAUAUUGCACAAUGGGGGGAACCCUGAUGCAGCGACGCCGCGUGGGUGAAGGAGUGCUUCGGCAUGUAAAGCCCUAUCGGCAGGGAAGAAGCAAGACGGUACCUGACUAAGAAGCCCCGACGAACUACGUGCCAGCAGCCGCGGUAAUACGUAGGGGGCGAGCGUUAUCCGGCUUCACUGGGUGUAAAGGGAGCGUAGACGGCCAUGCAAGCCAGGGGGGAAAGCUCGGGGCCCAACCCCGGUGCUGCCCUUGGAACUGGGCGGUUUGAGUGCGGGAGGGGCAUGCGGAAUUCCUGGUGUAGCGGUGAAAUGCGUAGAUAUCAGGAGGAACACCGGCUGCGAAGGCGGCCUGCUGGACUGCGACUGACGUUGAGGCUCGAAAGCGUGGGGAGCGAACAGGAUUAGAUACCCGUGUAGUC